rnacentral:rRNA from 2 species
CACCGCGGUUAUACGAGAGGCCCUAGUUGAUACCCACGGCGUAAAGAGUGGUUAGAAACAAAUAAAAACUAAAGCCAAAGACCUACCAAGCCGUCGCACGCACCCCGAAGGCACGAAACCCAGACACGAAAGUAGCUUUAUUAUUAACGACCCCACGAAAGCUAAGAAA